CGCGCAGGCGGCCAGGUCAGUCGAAUGUGAAAGCCCCCGGCUCAACUGGGGAAGGUCGUUCGAUACUGCCUGGCUCGAAGAUAGGAGAGGGAAGUGGAAUUUCAGGUGUAGUGGUGAAAUGCGUAGAUAUCUGAAGGAACACCAGUGGCGAAGGCGACUUUCUGGCCUAUUCUUGGCGCUGAGGCGCGAAGGCUAGGGGAGCGAACG
rnacentral:rRNA from 1 species